GAAUUUUUGGCCCAUGUGCUUCCAGGCCCACUCAGGUCUAUCCCAAAACUGUGGCUAGGGUUAGCAAGAACGCAGGGGCGGCGGCUAAGCACGUGAAAUUAUAAGGGAUGACGGGACCGGCCAGCUCUUGUCCUCCUUCAAUCCCGAUUUUCGGCCGACGGGUUCUACCGUGAUGUUCGUUUCGGCGCUAUCGUCCAGGGCACGGCCAAUUCAUGUUGACCGGAAACAACGAUAUGAAGCCGCCGAUUCCUAAACGACCCCGGCGGAUGGCUAUGUCGCCGGAAUCAGCACCUUUAGCCUCCGGCAGUAGCAGCUUCAUCCCAGAUG